GAGGGGGGCCGGGGAGGGCGGGGCGGGCGCCCGGGUGUCGGUGGCGCGGCGUCCGGGAAUGCGCCGCUGACGCUAACCAAGUUUGCCAGCCAUGCUUUUCUCAUGGCUCCGGCACAAUGGCCCGUUUUCUGCCCACCUGCCGAUUAUGCUUAAUUAGGCGAGGAGUUGAUUAAUUUGAGGAGAAGGUGUCCAUAAUUUAAGUUGUAUUUGAGAGGAGAACACCCCAACAACUUUUAUGACGGCAUUUAUCACUUAGAACCUGGCAAAGAAGUUAUUUGGAGAGGGCCAGGCAGAAUCCUCUGGCUCUUGGGAAUCCAAAGAAGAAGGGAAGGUCUCAGCAAAUUGUCUGUGGGAGAAAACUCUACCAUUUUUGAAAAGCAAUCUGGACUUUUAGCAAGUUGGAGUAUUUUAGAAAGUCUCCAUAUUUCCAGGAAGACAGCAAGAUAUUCCUGCUUCUGAUCAUUACCUAGGUAGUUGCAAGGAUGCAGCUGCUGAUGCCCAUGCCAGUGUAAAAUGCAGCAUCAGCCGCACACGAAGCCGUCACUUGUGCUGUCUGGAUGAGAACUGUGCUCAGGUGCGGACUGGCAACACGGCUUGUUCUUUCUGGGAUGCCUUGUCUACUGCUUUCCUCUUUGGACAGCUCACGCCAUUUCAGGGGGAAAAGUGGUUGAUAUAAAAUACUAAGAUUUUCUUGAAUCUUCAUCUGUUCUUCUCUAGUUUGGCAGAUAUCAGCCAUUAUUCAGCAUUAACAUCCCUGGACCACGUGUCCAGCCAGAGAUGCCAACCUCAUAACUGCAUUUGUGGCUGAAGCUGUGUCUGAACCUAUUCACAAUGCUAUCUGUAACCAGUGACUUCUAAAAAAGUGACCUGCCGAGUCUCCAGUGUCUUCAUUUAAUUUAGGUACCUCUGUGGCAUGAAAUACAAAAGGCCAAGAGCACAGUUCUGAGCCCAAGCAGUGUGAAUGCCCAAGGGGAGGGUUUCUUAGGUCUGAGUUUCCUGAAAUACUUCCAGCUCUUUUUUCUUACCUAAUUUCUUCUGUAACAUGCAGAGGGAGUGGCCACCAAAAACAAGUUAUAUCAAGUCUGGCUCCAGAAGUCAUUUUUUUUCCAGAUACACAGAGUCUGUAUGAAUUAACACAACACUGUUGUGUUGAAAACAGCAGCUUGAUUAAAUGUUGCUUUAAGAUCCAGGUCAUAACUACAGUGUGUGUGUAUAUGCCCAUGUUUGUACGUGUGUGUUGGCACCUAUUCUGCGGAGGCUGGAAUGACAACUCUCCCAAAACAAUGAGAAGGCUGGUAGUGACAUCACUGAAUUUUAGGGUAAGACCUUAGUAAAGUGCUUCAAUAACUGCCACAAGUAUCCUUAGCCCAUGGUUACACCAACCAGGUCAGCUUCCCAGUUCUGAAGUUUAAAGACGUUUUUCAGGUGCUGCCUGUGCAAGUGACAUAGCUCUCCAUCACCAGCAAACCAGCUCAUACUUUAAGCUUAAAUGAGACCCCAAGAUCAAAAUUCUACACUUCCAACCCAAAUUCAGUACAUGAUGCAAAAAUUCCUGAUAUACGUGCUUAAUUUCAUGUGCCUGAGAAGCCAGUUAGCAGAAGGCUGUACAGAGGUCCACAGACUUCUUAUAUAAUUUCGAACAUAUUUCAUCUUAAAUAGCUUUUAAGUAACUGUUCUCUAUCAAUAUCUGGGUUUCAGAAAAGAUGCUGCCUGAUCAAUUGCCUUACUCAGGAGUAAGAGGGUUACUGUCAUUAUCUUGUUUGCAAGAAAAAUAAGAACAUUUAUCUCAUUUUAGGUUAGCAGAAGAAACAGCAAUUGUGAAAUUUAUUGUUAGCCCAAAUGUAUUUUUAUUUUGCUGAUGAAUAAAUGCUGAAUGACUGACCUUUA